rnacentral:lncRNA from 1 species
AUGAGGACUAAGAGGUGUCAACAUGAGUCACUUCCUGACCUAGCUGACCCCGCUUGCAAUGAAAACUGCUCUGCAAUCCGCAAACUCAACUCUUCCCACUGCAUGAUGGGAAGGUCGUGGUCACCCAGAGGAGACUCUUCUUCACUUUGCUGUCUAGUCCCCUGGUCAGAGGGUGAGGGGUCAUCGGUGGUCCUCAAAUAACACCUGUCACUGUCUGGAUUCUCCUCCAUCCGGUGGAGAGUGAUGCUGGUCCAGCAAAGACAGGCUAAAGCAGAUGAGAGGGGGGGGGGGGAUUUUUUGAUGAAGUUUAAAAGAACAGCAUAUAUUUGAAACAGAAACAUUUUGUCACAUUAGAUAUUAUAAGGAUGUUUCUGAGAUUUUUGUCAAAAUUGACUUAUUGACAUUAAAUGACAACUUAUUUACAUUAUUAGAUGUUUUUUUAUAAGUUGUUUACAUUUUAAGACUUAAAAAAAAGGCUUUAUCUACAAAUUCGAACUCUAACUUGGCUCUACAAGGUUCUUUCUGUGAGCCAAUCAGCAUUUUGAAUGCACGCACGAGAACAAUCAGAAUCAGCUUUCUUUGUCAUUUCACAUUGCUACAUUGACAGCGGGCAAAGACCAGAAAGAAACACAAAAUACAAAACUAAGUAAUGGUGCACCACACAAAAUUGAGAAGAAACCUGAAACUAAAAAGCUGUGUGUCAGUGUGAUGAUUUAGAAGCGUUUUUGACAUUGAGAUGAAAUGUUUAAUUUUACAUUGUUAAAGAAGCAACAGGAACAAAAAAAAAAAAAAUAUAUAUAUAUAUAUA